AUAUAAUAAUAGCUGUAAUAAUAAAAUAUAAUAUACCUGUCCUGCAGGUCACACGUCUCACAGGUUUUCUCUGGAUCUGGACUCUCAGGAUUUGGACAGGUACUGACCGCAGACACACAUUCUGUGCAUUUUAACAUCAUUAAUUAGAGGAAUGCUGUGUGUAACAGUGUUUGUCUGAUCCUGCAGCUCCUGUGAGAGCCAGAAGAGCUCAUUCGGUAAGAACCGACUCACUGAAUCACAGCUGGAGCAGCUCAGAUUCACAGAUUCUGGAUUCGUUACAGAUUCACUCGCCAGGAAGCAGCAGCAUCACGAAUGGCCUCCUGCUAAAGGAGAAACCGACGGCAGCUUCACCAACCACAGCAAACCUGCGCAGGGAUUGGCGGAUCAGAACUGGUAUGUUGGUGCGGUUAGUCGUGUGGACGCUGAACACGCUCUUCACCUGGUCAACCGGGUAUAACACACCUUCAUUUCACUCCAGCAUCAUCACAUUUGUUAACAGUUCAGAGACACAAGAACGUACAGAAAUCACACUCAGAAAACAAACAUGUGGACUGUGCGUGCUCUGAACUGAAGGAUUGGGGUGGUUCAGAACCACAACCGGCUGGUUCGGACCGGGAAGCUUGAUGCGCUGAUCCGCUUUCAGAGGAGUUAACCUCAGUUUUUGAUCUUCGGUUGAGAAUCGAGGAAGGCCCAUUCCAACCGACGAUGACCUGCGUUUCUUGGCUUUUCUCUUUUCUUUCUUGUGUUUUUUACGUGGUGGAGAGUCUUGGUGCUUCUCUUCUCUUUCACAAAGGU
rnacentral:lncRNA from 1 species